GUACACUGCGGGCAAAUGCGCCAAAGGCCUUUGCGCACCAGACCGUCGGGUGACGUGCAUUGCCCGCGCUCGGGCACACCCCUAUGCCAAGUCCCGACAUAGACGCGGCCGUCAGAGCAAGUCGCCCGCCCGUGUCCAUGAGGAACCGGACCGCGCGACCACGCGGGCGCGUAGGUCGACGCACCGAGAAUCCGUUUGUCGUCGACGGUCGCGAUCGCGCACCAUCUUUUGAUGACGUCGUCGUCGGUCGCCGAGGUGCCCAUGAUGACAUCACCCCUAAAAGUCCACUCGCCGUCGACAGACGCACUGGUUUCCGUCAGGCCGCCGGUAUAAAGUCGACCCAUCCAUGUGCCGACGUCAAUGCAGAGACCGCGGUACCAGCGAUACGGCGAUCCGUUCAACUCGCCGUACCCAUGAGGCACUCCAUCCACCCAGGUGCCCUCAUAGACAAGGCCAUCAGCCAUAUCGGCGCGCCCGUGUCCCUGGAUGCGCCCGGCAUCCCAGUCGCCAGCGUAGGUCAUCAUCAAACGGUGUAGCCGUCCCGUCAGGCCUGGGUACUGUCCCAGGCACAUGUGGCACACGCAAUGUGUUCUCUCCUCGUCGUGGCACGGCCCUGCUGGUAUGGCAUAGUGGCAGGUCGUGCGCGCGGCCGAGAUCCAGCCCGACCGCCGUCCGUCCUCGUCGAGCGCCGCCUCUGUCACGAUCGUACCGCCUGCAGAGUCGUGCGUGGCAUAUAUGCCGUAACCGCGAGGCCGACCGUCGAUGAUCCGACCCCAAUAGCGCAGUCCCGGCAGCGAAAGCAUCCCCCAUGUGCGCCUAGGGCAUUUGGACAGACCAGCGCCGCCAUCGGGGGCCAUGUCGUUGGCCAUCGAGACAUAGAUGUGCACCCAGCGCACGCCAAAGCGCUCUGCGUGCGCGUGGAUGUUUGUCCUUGCUCGUCCAAAGUGCCGCCGACAUCGAGCGUGCCACGUCUUGUCGUCGGCCAGCAGAAACAUGGUUGCUGUGCAGACGAGCGCCAGCCGCCCGACAUUGAAAACUGACCCGAUGCCGUCGAGCAGUAUGUCGACAAUGAUCCACAAGAGUUCCGGUGGCAGGGACGCGAGCGAUGGACCGUCGCUCAUGGUGCUCUCACUCGACUCUCCUGGCUGUUGCACGCAGGGCACAAGUUUUUUGUCUUUGGGGGGCUGUCGACAGAGGGCGCGCGCUCUGGCCAAUAGACUGUCGAUAAAGUAAAGGGGCAUCGCCGAUUUUUGUCCCGU
rnacentral:lncRNA from 1 species